UACGGAGGGGGCUAGCGUUGUUCGGAAUUACUGGGCGUAAAGCGCGCGUAGGCGGACCUGCAAGUCGGGGGUGAAAGCCCGAGGCUCAACCUCGGAACUGCCUUCGAUACUGCGGGUCUCGAGUCCGGGAGAGGUGAGUGGAAUUCCUAGUGUAGAGGUGAAAUUCGUAGAUAUUAGGAAGAACACCAGUGGCGAAGGCGACUUUCUGGACUGUAACUGACGCUGAGGCACGAAAGCGUGGGGAGCAAACAGG
rnacentral:rRNA from 1 species